GAUGAACGCUGGCUACAGGCUUAACACAUGCAAGUCGAGGGGAAACGCCGGGGAAGCUUGCUUCCCCGGGCGUCGACCGGCGCACGGGUGAGUAACGCGUAUCCCACCUGCCUCUGACUGAGGGAUAACCCGUCGAAAGUCGGCCUAAUACCUCAUGGUAUCGUCUGCGGGCAUCCAACGACGAUUAAAGAUUUCAUCGGUCAGGGAUGGGGAUGCGUCUGAUUAGCUUGUUGGCGGGGUAACGGCCCACCAAGGCUACGAUCAGGAGGGGUUCUGAGAGGAAGGUCCCCCAGAGUGGAACUGGGACACGGGCCAAACUCAUACGGGAGGCAGCAGUGAGGAAGAUUGGUGAAUGGGCGAGAGCCUGAACCAGCCAAGUAGCGUGCAGGAAGACGGCCCGAUGGGUGGUAAACUGCUUUUAGGCGGGGAUAAAGUGAGGGACGUGUCCCUCAGUGCAGGUACCGCAUGAAUAAGGACCGGCUAAUUCCGUG
rnacentral:rRNA from 1 species